rnacentral:rRNA from 2 species
GGCUCAGAUUGAACGCUGGCGGCAGGCCUAACACAUGCAAGUCGAACGGUAACAGGAAGCAGCUUGCUGCUUCGCUGACGAGUGGCGGACGGGUGAGUAAUGUCUGGGAAACUGCCUGAUGGAGGGGGAUAACUACUGGAAACGGUAGCUAAUACCGCAUAACGUCGCAAGACCAAAGAGGGGGACCUUCGGGCCUCUUGCCAUCGGAUGUGCCCAGAUGGGAUUAGCUAGUAGGUGGGGUAACGGCUCACCUAGGCGACGAUCCCUAGCUGGUCUGAGAGGAUGACCAGCCACACUGGAACUGAGACACGGUCCAGACUCCUACGGGAGGCAGCAGUGGGGAAUAUUGCACAAUGGGCGCAAGCCUGAUGCAGCCAUGCCGCGUGUAUGAAGAAGGCCUUCGGGUUGUAAAGUACUUUCAGCGGGGAGGAAGGCGAUAAGGUUAAUAACCUUGUCGAUGACGUACCCGCAGAAGAAGC